rnacentral:rRNA from 1 species
ACGGGGUGCAGCAGGCGCGAAAACUCCGCAAUGCACGAAAGUGUGACGGGGCUACCCCGAGUGCUCUCCGCUGAGGAAAGCUUUUCCUUGGUAUAACUAGCCAGGGGAAUAAGUGAUGGGUAAGACUGGUGCCAGCAGCCGCGGUAACACCAGCGUCACAAGUGGGAAUCGCGAUUAUUGGGCCUAAAGCGUCCGUAGCCGGUUUGGUAAAUCCUUAGUGAAAUCGGCCAGCUUAACUGGUCGGCGUGCUAGGGAGACUGUCAAACUAGGAACCGGGAGGAGUCAGAGGUAUGCAAGGGGGAGCGGUAAAAUGUUAUAAUCCCAGAAAGACUACCCGUGGCGAAGGCGUCUGACUAGUACGGAUCCGACGGUGAGGGACGAAAGCUAGGGGAGCAAUCCGGAUUAGAUACGGGCUGCCAUGUCUGGUUUCUUGAGAAAGGUUCAUAAAUUGCUCAUGUGACUAUUAUGAAUCAAGGAAAGAAGACCGCUAUAUGAUGGCAUGCCUGCUAAUUACCCGAGUAGUCCUAGCCGUAAACGCUGCGAGCAAGGUGUCACAUAUUCUUAGAGAAUAUGUUGUGUCGAAAUGAAGGUGCUAAGCUCGCCGCCUGGGGAGUAUGGUCGCAAGACUGAAACUUAAAGGAAUUGGCGGGGGAGCAC